rnacentral:rRNA from 1 species
UAUUGGUCAAUGGGCGGGAGCCUGAACCAGCCAAGUCGCGUGAGGGAUUAAAGCCCUACGGGUCGUAAACCUCGUUUGCCGGGGAGCAGGGCGGCGGACGUGUCCGCCUUCUGAGCGUACCCGGAGCAAAAGCAUCGGCUAACUCCGUGCCAGCAGCCGCGGUAAUACGGAGGAUGCGAGCGUUAUCCGGAUUUAUUGGGUUUAAAGGGUGCGUAGGCGGGCUUUUAAGUCAGCGGUAAAAAUUCGGGGCUCAACCCCGUCCGGCCGUUGAAACUGGGGGCCUUGAGUGGGCGAGAAGAAGGCGGAAUGCGUGGUGUAGCGGGGAAAUGCAUAGAUAUCACGCAGAACCCCGAUUGCGAAGGCAGCCUUCCGGCGCCCUACUGACGCUGAGGCACGAAAGUGCGGGGAUCGAACAGG